GGGCUUGACAUCCCACGAACCUGCCUGAAAGGGCGGAGUGCCCGCAAGGGAGCGCGGAGACAGGUGGUGCAUGGCUGUCGUCAGCUCGUGUCGUGAGAUGUUGGGUUAAGUCCCGCAACGAGCGCAACCCUCACCCCUAGUUGCCACCGGGUCAUGCCGAGCACUCAAGGGGAACUGCCAGCGUCAAGCUGGAGGAAGGCGGGGAUGACGUCAAGUCAUCAUGCCCCUUACGCCCUGGGCUACACACGUGCUACAAUGGCCGGUACAAAGGGACGCGAGACCGCGAGGUGGAGCUAAUCCCAAAAAACUGGUCUAAGUUCAGAUUGCAGUCUGCAACUCGACUGCAUGAAGGAGGAAUCGCUAGUAAUCGCGCAUCAGCACGGCGCGGUGAAUACGUUCCCGGGCCUUGUACACACCGCCCGUCACACCACGAAAGCUGUCUGUACUCGAAGUCGCUGAG
rnacentral:rRNA from 1 species